GUGGGUAAGAGCACCCGACUGCUCUUCCGAAGGUCUGGAGUUCAAAUCCCAGCAACCACAUGGUGGCUCAAAACCAUCCGUAACAAGAUCUGACUCCCUCUUCUGGAGUGUCUGAAGACAGCUACAGUGUACUUACAUAUAAUAAAUAAAUCUUUAAAAAAAAAAAGAAAAAGAAAAUACUAUUCUAUGCCUUGGAAAAAAAUUGUGGAGUUUUUAGGAUUGAUUUAAAACCAGGUUUAAAACAAGCUAGGCAAGUAUGCUACUACUAAGUUACAACCCUAUCAUAGCAUUUUAAGAUGUAUAAUCACACCCUGUCUCGGGGAAAAAAAAGAUGUAUAAUUACAAAAGGAUCAUAUUUAUAAUUCAAAUAGGCAGUUUUGAUUAUAAUAGGUUUAUAUAAAAUAAUUUGAUUUUAAUUUUGUAUCUGCAGAAAGAAUGGAGGGAAGACAGAAACGGAGAAUUUAAAAGGAAAGUUGCCCGCUGUGUAAGAAAAAGCCAAGAAACUGCUUUUGAGUGAUGUUUAUUCAAUAGUUAGUAACUUCACUUAUUUCAGGGUAAGUUCAUUUUAAAACUGUGCAACUCUUUAACUUUUUUGCUCAAAUGCUAGCCUUUUUUUUUUGGAGACAAGGUUUCUCUGUGCAACCCUGGCUAUCCUGGAUCUCACUCUGUAGACCAGGCUGGCCUCGAACUCAGAAAUCCGCCUGCCUCUGCCUCCCAAGUGCUGGAAUCAAAGGUGUGCGCCAUCAUGCCCGGCACUAAUUUUUGUAGAUCAUUUGAUUUUGCUAUUUGAUUUGUAUAUAUUGGCUCAAUUUUAUUCUUCCAGUUCCGUAUACUGUAGUUUGCUGCUUCUCAGAGCUUUUUUUUUAUCUUUUGGAGCACUUAAGUAUUUUUACGUAGAUGUUCUGAAUUAAAUAGUUUCAUGUUAAUAGUCUCCUUAUUUUCACUGGUAGUAAUGAAAGAUUUUUAACUUUUUAUUUUUUAAAUGCUGCUGGCAAUUAAACCCAGUUCCUGGAAAAGGGUACCCUAUCACUGAGCCUGUAUUGAUGGUAAAAUUUCUGGUAACGAAGAUGUCAGUUGGUUCUUCAUUUCACCCUUUCUAUUUAUCUUCAUUUACCUUUUUAAAUGGGAACUGAAGUAUCUUGGACCCUCUUAUGCUGAAUAUUUUGUAUGGUGAGCCCGCCCCAUAGCCCCCCCCCCCCCCCCCAAAAAAAAAAUAAAGAUCUGAAAGCUAGUAAUGAGCCCUUGCCUAGUGUUCAGGAAGUCCUGAGGUCAGUCCUAUUCUAGCUUUUUUGUUGCUGUGAUAAAAUAACCAACUUGUUGAGUUCUUAAUUAGGGUUUCUAUUGCUGUGAUAGCGAACUUUGAUCAAAACACAACUUGAGGGUUGGGGAUUUAGCUCAGUGGUAGAGCGCUUGCCUAAAGGCCCUGGGUUCGGUCCUCAGCUCUGGGAAAAAAAAAAGG
rnacentral:lncRNA from 1 species